GACGAACGCUGGCGGCGUGCUUAACACAUGCAAGUCGAACGGAAAGGCCCUGCUUUUGUGGGGUGCUCGAGUGGCGAACGGGUGAGUAAAACGUGUGUAUCCUGUCCUCGACUUUGGGAUAACUUCAGGAAACUGGGGCUCAAACAGGAUAUGAGCCCUUGCUGCACGGUGGGGGUUGGAAAGUUUGGGCGGUUGGGGAUGGAUUCGCGGCCUAUCAGCUUGUUGGUGGGGUAGUGGCUUACCAAGGCUUUGACGGGUAGCCGGCCUGAGAGGGUGACCGGCCACAUUGGGACUGAGAUACGGCCCAGACUCCUACGGGAGGCAGCAGUGGGGAAUAUUGCACAAUGGGCGGAAGCCUGAUGCAGCAACGCCGCGUGCGGGAUGACGGCCUUCGGGUUGUAAACCGCUUUCGCCUGUGACGAAGCGUGAGUGACGGUAAUGGGUAAAGAAGCACCGGCUAACUACGUG
rnacentral:rRNA from 1 species